AUUGAACGCUGGCGGCAGGCUUAACACAUGCAAGUCGAACGGUAACAGGAAACAGCUUGCUGUUUCGCUGACGAGUGGCGGACGGGUGAGUAAUGUCUGGAAACUGCCUGAUGGAGGGGGAUAAUUACUGGAAACGGUAGCUAAUACCGCAUAACGUCGCCAGACCAAAGAGGGGGACCUUCGGGCCUCUUGCAAUCGGAUGUGUCCAGAUGGGAUUAGCUAGUAGGUGGGGUAACGGCUCACCUAGGGGACGAUACCUAGCUGGUCUGAGAGGAUGACGAGCCACACUGGAACUGAGACACGGUCCAGACUCCUACGGGAGGCAGCAGUGGGGAAUAUUGCAAAAUGGGCGCAAGCCUGAUGCAGCCAUGCCGGGUGUAUGAAGAAGGCCUUCGGGUUGUAAAGUACUUUCAGCGGGGAGGAAGGGAGUAAAGUCAAUACCUUUGCUCAUUGACGUUACCCGCAGAAGAAGCACCGGCUAACUCCGUGCCAGCAGCCGCCGUAA
rnacentral:rRNA from 1 species